rnacentral:rRNA from 1 species
GGGCCCGCACAAGCGGAGGAGCAUGUGGUUUAAUUCGAUGAUACGCGAGGAACCUUACCAAGGCUUAAAUGUAAUAUGACCGGUUGAGAGAUCAACCUUUUUUCGAACAGAUUACAAGGUGCUGCAUGGUUGUCGUCAGCUCGUGCCGUGAGGUGUCGGGUUAAGUCCCAUAACGAGCGCAACCCUAUUUUUAGUUACCAGCGAGUAAUGUCGGGAACUCUAGAAAAACUGCCUGUGCAAACAGAGAGGAAGGUGGGGAUGACGUCAAAUCAUCACGGCCUUAUGUCUUGGGCUACACACGUGCUACAAUGGUUACUACAAUGUGAUGCCAUCUGGUGACAGAGAGCU